AUUGAACGCUGGCGGCAGGCCUAACACAUGCAAGUCGAGCGGAUGAGGGAAGCUUGCUUCCCGAUUUAGCGGCGGACGGGUGAGUAAUGCCUAGGAAUCUGCCUAUUAGUGGGGGAUAACGUUCCGAAAGGAACGCUAAUGCCGCAUACGUCCUACGGGAGAAAGUGGGGGAUCUUCGGACCUCACGCUAAUAGAUGAGCCUAGGUCGGAUUAGCUAGUUGGUGGGGUAACGGCUCACCAAGGCGACGAUCCGUAGCUGGUCUGAGAGGAUGAUCAGCCACACUGGAACUGAGACACGGUCCAGACUCCUACGGGAGGCAGCAGUGGGGAAUAUUGGACAAUGGGCGAAAGCCUGAUCCAGCCAUGCCGCGUGUGUGAAGAAGGUCUUCGGAUUGUAAAGCACUUUAAGUUGGGAGGAAGGGUUGUAAGCUAAUAUCUUGCAGCUUUGACGUUACCAACAGAAUAAGCACCGGCUAACUCUGUGCCAGCCGCCGCUGUAAUAC
rnacentral:rRNA from 1 species